rnacentral:ncRNA from 1 species
CCUAAAAAGUUCUGAGGGCACAAAGGUUUGGUCCUAGCCUUAUUAUCAAUUAUCUUUUAACUUACACAUGCAAGUCUCAGCACACCCGUGAGGACGCCCUUUACCCCUACCCCAGGCUUAGGAGCUGGUAUCAGGCGCAACUUUUACGCCCAUAACACCUAGUCCCACCACACCCCCAAGGGUACUCAGCAGUGAUAAACAUUGUCUAUAAGCGCCAGCUUGACCCAGUUAUAAAGAAGAGGGCCGGCCAACUUGGUGCCAGCCGCCGCGGCUAGACCAACUGGACUCAAAUUGAUAAUUCCCGGCGUUAAGCGUGAUUAAAGCCACACACCAAUUAGAGUUAAACCUAUGUUGAGCAGUGAAAAGCACACGAUAGGGAAACCCAGAAACGAAAGUUACUCUAAUCUCUGCUUGAAUACACGACAGCUAGAAUACAAACUGGGAUUAGAUACCCCACUAUGUCUAGCCGUAAACUAUUAACCCACACUAACCCCGCGCCAGGGAACUACGAGCCUUAGCUUAAAACCCAAAGGACUUGACGGUGUCCCACCCAACUAGAGGAGCCUGUUCUAUAAUCGAUAACCCCCGCUUCACCCAACCCCCCCUUGCUUUAUCAGCCUGUAUACCUCCGUCGUAAACCCGCCGUAUGAAUGUACUUAAGCGGAUUCAAUGGUUCCCCACCAACACGUCAGGUCAAGGUGCAGCCAAUGGGGGUGGUAAGUAAUGGGCUACAAUCUCUAACCUAGAACAAACGAAGUACUGCAUGAAACACAGUCAUGAAGGAGGAUUUAGUAGUAAAAAGAAAGUAGCGUGUUCUUUUUAACACGGCCCUGGGACGUGUACACACCGCCCGUCGCCCUCUUCGACAACACUAUUCUGUUACCUAACCCAACUAAUAACUAGAGAAGAGGUAAGUCGUAACAUGGUAAGUGUACCGGAAGGUGCACUUGGCUCAACAAAGUGUGGCUUAGCUAAAGCACCUUGCUUACACCAAGGAGACAUCUGUGGAACCCGGAUCACUUUGAACCCCAAAUCAAGCCUAAUAACUACUAUGAGUAAGAUUACAACAUUUCUACGACCUAAUAAAACAUUUUUCCACUUUAGUAGAGGUGAUCAAAAAACUUCUUAGCGCUUUAUAUCAAGUACCGCAAGGGAAUGAUGAAAUAGCUAUGAAAUAGCCCAAAAGUACUAAACAGCAGAGACUCCACUCGUACCUUUUGCAUCAUGGUUUAGCCAGUCCAAAUCAAGCAAAGCGAAACAUUAGUUUGACCUCCCGAAACUAGGCGAGCUACUUCGAAACAGCUUAAAAGAGCCAACCCGUCUCUGUUGCAAAAGAGUGGGAUGAUUUCCAAGUAGAAGUGAAAAGCCUACCGAGCCUAGAGAUAGCUGGUUAUUCAGGAAAAGAGUUUUAGCUCACCCUUAAGCUUACCUAUAACACAAACAACACAACAGGCUUAAGAGUUAUUCAAUUAAGGCACAGCUUAUUUGAAAAAGAGUACAGUCUACAACCAAGGGUAAGUACCAAGAUUCGUGUUAAGUGGGCCUGAAAGCAGCCACCUUCAAAAAAGCGUUAAAGCUUUUCACAUCUCUGAUAUUUAAUACCAACACCUUUCUCGAACCCUUCACUAAUACUGAAUGACCCUAUAAAUUAUAGGAGACACAAUGCUAAAACUAGUAACAAGAAAUAGACUUUCUCCGAAAUGCAAGUGUAAGCCAAAACGGACCCACCAUUGGCCUUUACCGUGUUUGACCCAAGUACAGCAACUCCUCCCAGAAAACCCUGUAUGCCCAAACGUUACCCUAACACAAGAACAUUCCCGGAAAGAUUAAAAGAGAAAGAAGGAACUCGGCAAACCUAAGCCCCGCCUGUUUACCAAAAACAUCGCCUCUUGAUUAAAUAUAAGAGGUCCAGCCUGCCCAGUGACAUAGUUAAACGGCCGCGGUACCCUGACCGUGCGAAGGUAGCAUAAUCACUUGUUCCUUAAAUAGGGACUUGUAUGAACGGCAUCACGAGGGCUUUACUGUCUCCUUUCUCCAAUCAGUGAAACUGAUCUCCCCGUGAAGAAGCGGGGAUGAUAAUAUAAGACGAGAAGACCCCAUGGAGCUUUAAACCCAACGACACCCCUCAACUCCCCAACCCAUUUUAGUUGCUACAGUCCUGUUCGUUGGUUUUAGGUUGGGGUGACCGCGGAGUAUAGAUUAACCUCCACGACGAAUGGGACUACCCCCUUACCCAAGAGCUACUCCUCUAAGGAUCAAAAAAUUGACGUAAAAUGAUCCAAGCAUUUGAUCAACGGACCAAGUUACCCUGGGGAUAACAGCGCAAUCCAUUUCAAGAGCCCCUAUCGACAAAUGGGUUUACGACCUCGAUGUUGGAUCAGGGUACCCAAGUGGUGCAGCCGCUACUAAUGGUUUGUUUGUUCAACAAUU